CUUAACUUAUGCUAAUCUUCUACAACUGCACUAUUCAGCCAUACCCUUCCUGUACAAAGCUUGGAAUCGCUGGCAUGAAGCCAGACGAGGCACAAGACAAAUAAGUCAUCAAGGACAAAUAAAAGGAGGUUCAUUCAUCGCAUUCAGGACUGGAAUCUUUAAUGGUCACCAAAUGAACUAAGAUAACUAAGUAACCAUUGUAAAUAUUAAUCUUUAAAGGAAAACAAUACUCCCAACAACAGGAAGCCUGAUAAGACAUUGGAUGUUGCCAUCAGUGUUAUGGAGUCUCUCUAAUUUCCUUAGUUUUUUCUUAUGCCUGUAGAGGGAUCAGGAAGGGGAACAUAUGGUAUCUCUCAAAGGAAGUAAAUUAACAUUAUUAAUAGCUAAUGUGGGAGAGGUGAAGCAGUGAUUGUUCGUGGUGGUUGUUAUUGUGCUUUUGUUGGGGGGAAGCCUGCCUGCUAGUGAGUUUAAGCACUCAAGCCAAGCUCAAAAUCUUGUAUUUAUAAACAGAGAUCUGAUAACAGUUGCCUCAGCAUCCAUGAUGCUUUGCCAGCGCACGCACGUCGAGCUCAUCUGUUGGGGUUUGUCCCAAGACUUGGCUAACACAGACAAGAAUUUACAGCACGGUCCCUGUUCCCGAGUAACUCGUUGCAUGGACCUUCACAUUCUUCUCUGCAUUAGUUCAGUUUGAAGCAGAAGGAACAAGGACAGGUAGAUCUGCACUUCUGAGGAAGAGGAGCUGUUCAAAGGGCCAUUGAGGAGGUGGGUUCUCACACGCGGUGGUCACUGAGGUGGGAAAUGUGCUUUUAAGAGAAGAAUUUACCUUUCUUAGGCCUCUGCUUUCAUCUCUCUCCCAUACAUACUUACAAGAUGGUAUUUAUUUACUCUAAAUAACAUUGAUACUUAGAGAACCUAAGUUAUAAGCUGUGGCUACUUAAGAGACCGGGAUCCUGAUCCCAGCCUCAGCUCUAUUUGUCCCAGAGCACCUGAAAUCAUAAAUGCAUUCCUCAUUUCCUCAAGACACACUAUACUUCCUACUUUCCUCCCAGUCAUGAAAGCCUAUGGCCAUUCCUAGCUGGCCUGGCAGAGGUGGAUUUCAUGACACCUUUCAUGCUGAGACUAUCUGCAAAACGAAUUUGGCGGAUCUUAGUAAAAAUGAGAGGACUUGAUUAAAAUCUCCCAGUGAGCUCAGCAGAUAAAAGCAAAUCUGGGGGGAAUUGUUCAAUAAACUCUUUAGAAAGAAGACAGUGGAUUUUGCUAUAAUUAACUCACUGGAUCUUAAAAUUGAGUAGCCCAGUAAGAAAACCUCAUGCUUCAGGGCACAUGGUGAUUGCUUUAUAGAGACAAAGGAAUUCCCUCUGCCCUUGAAAACUCGUACUUGAACUGCAAGUUGACAGCUGGAUUUUGGCAUCUAGGCCUGAAGAGGACAACUUGAACAUCUUAAGACGGUUCAGACUUUAGUUUAACUUGGAGAGGUGCAACUGCUCUGUAAGGAAACUGUUUCCCUACCAUACAACUCUACUUGAAAAGAUAACUCAGUAAACUAAGUUUGUGACUUAAAGCUGGUCUAAAAUACCUCUUCCUGAGUGACGAUGGGAUAUUUUAUUUCUUAAGAAACUCAUCACAUUGACCAGAAAGUUCAUGAAAGGCUGACAGAGCUGUGCAUUGUUUGCUGGCUCUAUGGAAUUACAUGACAAGGAUGAAUUGUUCUCUGUGCUGAAGCCCGGGUGGUUUAUAAGGUUAUGAAGUUUUCCA